rnacentral:tRNA from 1 species
GAGUUGAGGCUUAGUGGUAGAGCCCUCGCCUAGGAUGUGUGGGGCCCUGGGUUUGAUCCUCAGCACCACA